UGCCAGCAGCCGCGGUAAUACGUAGGGUGCGAGCGUUAAUCGGAAUUACUGGGCGUAAAGCGUGCGCAGGCGGCUUUUUAAGACAGGUGUGAAAUCCCCGGGCUUAACCUGGGAAUGGCGCUUGUGACUGGAAGGCUAGAGUGCGGCAGAGGGGGAUGGAAUUCCGAGUGUAGGGGUGAAAUCCGUAGAUAUUCGGAGGAACACCAGUGGCGAAGGCGGCUUUCUGGACCGAUACUGACGCUGAGACGCGAAAGCGUGGGGAGCAAACAGGAUUAGAUA
rnacentral:rRNA from 1 species